rnacentral:rRNA from 1 species
CCUACGGGUGGCAGCAGUGGGGAAUAUUGGACAAUGGGGGCAACCCUGAUCCAGCCAUGCCGCGUGUGUGAAGAAGGCCCUCGGGUUGUAAAGCACUUUCAGUGAGGAAGAACGCCUGGUGGUUAAUACCCAUCAGGAAAGACAUCACUCACAGAAGAAGCACCGGCUAACUCCGUGCCAGCAGCCGCGGUAAUACGGAGGGUGCGAGCGUUAAUCGGAAUUACUGGGCGUAAAGCGCGCGUAGGUGGCUUGAUAAGCCGGUUGUGAAAGCCCCGGGCUCAACCUGGGAACGGCAUCUGGAACUGUCAAGCUAGAGUGCAGGAGAGGAAGGUAGAAUUCCCGGUGUAGCGGUGAAAUGCGUAGAGAUCGGGAGGAAUACCAGUGGCGAAGGCGGCCUUCUGGACUGACACUGACACUGAGGUGCGAAAGCGUGGGUAGCAAACAGGAUUAGAUACCCCGGUAGUC